GGGGCCGACCUGGUUUCGACGAGGGUGUUGCACCAAAAGGUGCGUGUCCGGGAGCCGUGCUUGCCGGUCAAACAGUACGGAAAAAAACAAAAGCCAACGACGACGUUCACACGUACGCCCUGGCCGCCUAAGAACCUCGCAUAGAGUCUUCUUAAGCCGUUCAUGUUGAUGACCCCGCCCAUGGUCACAGCAUGAGCGUAAUUGAAGUGGGCUAGUCCUUCGGAGCUGCCGCUCGACGAAGGGCGAAAUCAUAGAGUGGCUGGUUCUCGAAGCGUCUGUCUGCGAGCGCUUCGAGGACGAGAUUAACUCGCAUGACUACGCACGUAGGACCUUCUGGGAAUGUACUUUCGGACGCGGGUUCGAUUCCCGCCGGCUCCAUCA
rnacentral:tmRNA from 1 species